AGUGAACGCUGGCGGUAGGCCUAACACAUGCAAGUCGAACGGCAGCACAGUAAGAGCUUGCUCUUACGGAUUGCGAGUGGCGGACGGGUGAGGAAUACAUCGGAAUCUACUUUUUCGUGGGGGAUAACGUAGGGAAACUUACGCUAAUACCGCAUACGACCUACGGUUGAAAGCAGGGGAUCUUCGGACCUUGCGCGAUUGAAUGAGCCGAUGUCGGAUUAGCUAGUUGGCGGGGUAAAGGCCCACCAAGGCGACGAUCCGUAGCUGGUCUGAGAGGAUGAUAGCCGACAUUGGAACGGGGACACGGUCAAGACGCCUACGGGAGGCAGCAGUGGGGAAUAUUGGACAAUGGGCGCAAGCAUGAUACAGCGAUACCGAGUGGGUGAAGAAGGCCUUCGGGUUGUAAAGACGUUUUGUUGGGAAAGAAAAGCAGCAGGUUAAUACGAAGCUGUUCUGACGGUAACCAAAGAAUAAGCACCGGCUAACUUCGUG
rnacentral:rRNA from 1 species